rnacentral:rRNA from 1 species
AUUGAACGCUGGCGGCAGGCCUAACACAUGCAAGUCGAGCGGAUGAGAGGAGCUUGCUUCUCGAUUCAGCGGCGGACGGGUGAGUAAUGCCUAGGAAUCUGCCUGGUAGUGGGGGACAACGUUUCGAAAGGAACGCUAAUACCGCAUACGUCCUACGGGAGAAAGCAGGGGACCUUCGGGCCUUGCGCUAUCAGAUGAGCCUAGGUCGGAUUAGCUAGUUGGUGAGGUAAUGGCCAACCAAGGGGACGAUCCGUAACUGGUCUGAGAGGAUGAUCAGUCACACUGGAACUGAGACACGGUCCAGACUCCUACGGGAGGCAGCAGUGGGGAAUAUUGGACAAUGGGCGAAAGCCUGAUCCAGCCAUGCCGCGUGUGUGAAGAAGGUCUUCGGAUUGUAAAGCACUUUAAGUUGGGAGGAAGGGUUGUAGAUUAAUACUCUGCAAUUUUGACGUUACCGACAGAAUAAGCACCGGCUAACUCUGUGCCAGCCGCCGCAGUAA